GAUGAACGCUGGCGGCGUGCCUAAUACAUGCAAGUCGAGCGAAUGGAUUAAGAGCUUGCUCUUAUGGAGUUAGUGGCGGACGGGUGAGUAACACGUGGGUAACCUGCCCAUAAGACUGGGAUAACUCCGGGAAACCGGGGCUAAUACCGGAUAACAUUUUGAACCGCAUGGUUCGAAAUUGAAAGGCGGCUUCGGCUGUCACUUAUGGAUGGACCCGCGUCGCAUUAGCUAGUUGGUGGGGUAACGGCUCACCAAGGCAACGAUGCGUAGCCGACCUGAGAGGGUGAUCGGCCACACUGGGACUGAGACACGGCCCAGACUCCUACGGGAGGCAGCAGUAGGGAAUCCUCCGCAAUGGACGAAAGUCUGACGGAGCAACGCCGCGUGAGUGAUGAAGGCUUUCGGGUCGUAAAACUCUGUUGUUAGGGAAGAACAAGUGCUAGUUGAAUAAGCUGGCACCUUGACGGUACCUAACCAGAAAGCCACGGCUAACUACGUGCCAGCAGCCGCCGUAA
rnacentral:rRNA from 1 species